AUUGAACGCUGGCGGCAGGCCUAACACAUGCAAGUCGAGCGGAGCGGCGGACGGGUGAGGAAUGUAUGGGAAUCUCCUCUGUAGGGGGGGAUAACGAAGGAAAACUGACGCUAAUACCGCAUACUAUGGGAUGAACCGAUGUGGGAUUAGCUAGUGGGUGGGGGAAAGGCUCACCAAGGCGACGAUCCCUAGCUGGUCUGAGAGGAUGAUCAGCCACACUGGAACUGAGACACGUUCCAGACUCCUACGGGAGGCAGCAGUGGGGAAUAUUGCACAAUGGGCGCAAGCCUGAUCCAGCCAUGCCGCGUGUGGGAAGAAGGCCUUCGGAUUGUAAAGCACUUUAAGCGGGGAGGCGUUACCCGCAGAAGAAGCACCGGCUAACUCCGUGCCAGCAGCCGCGGUAAUUC
rnacentral:rRNA from 1 species